rnacentral:rRNA from 1 species
AACGAACGCUGGCGGCAUGCCUAACACAUGCAAGUCGAACGAGACCUUCGGGUCUAGUGGCGCACGGGUGCGUAACGCGUGGGAACCUGCCCUUAGGUUCGGAAUAACUCCCCGAAAGGGGUGCUAAUACCGGAUAAUGUCUUCGGACCAAAGAUUUAUCGCCUUUGGAUGGGCCCGCGUUGGAUUAGCUAGUUGGUAGGGUAAAAGCCUACCAAGGCGACGAUCCAUAGCUGGUCUGAGAGGAUGAUCAGCCACACUGGGACUGAGACACGGCCCAGACUCCUACGGGAGGCAGCAGUGGGGAAUAUUGGACAAUGGGCGAAAGCCUGAUCCAGCAAUGCCGCGUGAGUGAUGAAGGCCUUAGGGUUGUAAAGCUCUUUUACCCGUGAUGACAAUGACAGUACCGGGAGAAUAAGCUCCGGCUAACUCCGUG